rnacentral:rRNA from 1 species
UACGUAGGGUGCAAACGUUAAUCGGAAUUACUGGGCGUAAAGCGUGCGCAGGCGGCUUUGCAAGACAGAUGUGAAAUCCCCGGGCUCAACCUGGGAACUGCAUUUGUGACUGCAAGGCUAGAGUACGGCAGAGGGGGAUGGAAUUCCGCGUGUAGCAGUGAAAUGCGUAGAUAUGCGGAGGAACACCAAUGGCGAAGGCAAUCCCCUGGGCCUGUACUGACGCUCAUGCACGAAAGCGUGGGGAGCAAACAGG